rnacentral:sRNA from 1 species
GGCUUGUUGCGGGGCUAUCAUGUGUACAUGGCCGUCAAUAGCGGCUGCGGUCAGAAUAAGAUGUUCACCUGAAAUCGCAUCCGUGGCAGCUCCUGUUAUUAACUCUGGAGUAACUCCCUGCAUGAUAUUGGGAUUUCCUGCUUUACCGAUUCCGGCUAUUUUACCGUCUUUGAUGCCGACAUCGGCUUUGAUAAUCCCCAAUUUCGGAUCGAUAAUCGUUACGUUUGUGAUAACGAGAUCGAGGGUGCCUCCCGCGGAAGUUAACGUGUUCGCUAAUCCCAUACCGUCCC